ACGAGCCGGAUGAUGCGAGAGUAUCAAGUCCGGAUCUGUGAGAGGCUCAGGGUGAAAUUCCCUGGGCCUACUCGGC
rnacentral:ncRNA from 1 species